rnacentral:lncRNA from 1 species
GCAAGCAAACUCAGUAUGCAGCUAAAAGCUCCCAAGCUGAUUUGCAACGAAGUCAUUCACCCACCCAGGUUCCCGAAGGACAUGUUGUGAAAAGGGGACUGCAGUGGAUGAGGCUUGAAAGCUUCUCCAGAACCUUCCAGCAAGUGGAGGGAAGGAGGGAGUAUGAGACCCCAGCUCCUCGCAGGUUCAACCCAAAGCCCACACUCUGGAACACCACUAAACUCCGGAACACCCAGAACACUACACAGCUGCACAGCUCCAGGACACAGAAUACACCUCACACAGUGCAAGGAAACUUCUGGAGGCCAUCCCUAACAACAGCAGCAGCUUGGCAGCCAGAGGUGUGCAGCAGCAGUUUUCUUAGGGUUGCCAUAGCAACACCACCGAUGGCAACCUGCAAACAGUGCAAUCCAGGUCCCUCAGUCAAGCAGUGAAUUUCAAGCACAGAUUCAACCACAAAGACCAGGGAGGUUUUCCAAUGCCUCGCAAAGUACGCCACCUAUUGGUAGAUGAAGAAGAACUCAGACAUUGAAUAUCCCUUUGUGCAUGUUGAAGUUAUGGGUGUAAUUAAUAAUUACACGUUAUUAAUUACACCCAGUCACUACAAAGAUACAGCCGUCCUUCCUAUCACAGUUAGAGGAAGGACACCGCUCAGAGAUUUCACCAUGAGGCCAAUGGUGACUAUAAAACAGUUAGAGUUUAAUGGCUGUGAUAGGAGAAAACUGAGGAUGGAUCAACAACAUUGUAGUUACUCCACAAUACUAACCUAAUUGACAGAGUGAAAUGAAGGAAGCCUGUACAGAAUACAAAUAUUCCAAAACAUGCAUCCUGUUAUCAACAAUGCACUAAAGUAACACUGCAAAAAAUGCAGCAAAGCAAUACACUUUUUGUCCUGAAUACACUGUGUUAUGUUUGGGACAAAUCCAAUACUCUUCCUGGGGUCCAGCAAAAAUGAAGGCAGUUAUAAAAGUAUUUUUUAACAUGAUAAUACAUUCAUAACAGAUUUAACAAGUGUGUGCCCAUGGGACUCUAUAGUCGUGGCCAAAAGUUUUGAGAAUUACACAAAUAUUAAUUUUCACAUUAUUUGCUGCUUCAGUAUCUUUAGAUAUUUUUGUCAGAUGUUACUAUGGAAUACUGAAGUAUAAUUACAAGCAUUUCAUAAGCGUUAAAGG